rnacentral:lncRNA from 1 species
GUGGCCCCUAUUGAUUGGGGAACAUUUUUUAGAUUUAAAAAUGGUAUAGCCGCACGGCUAUACUCAGUUUUGAAUUUUUUUUACGGAAGCUAUGUGUUGACACGUGGUGCGUAAUGGUUGGGGUCCUUUUUUAUAUUAAAAAUUAGUAUAUCCGAGCGGCUAUACUCAGUUUUGAAUUUUUUUUAAAAAAAGAAAGUGUGUGACACGUGGCCCCUAUUGAUUGGGGGACAUUUUUUAGAUUUAAAAUGGUAUAACCGCACGGCGAUACUCAGUUUUGAAUUUUUUUUUCAAGGAAGCUAUGUGUUGACACGUGGUGCGUAAUGGUUGGGGUCCUUUUUUAUAUUAAAAAUUAGUAUAUCCGAGCGGCUAUACUCAGUUUUGAAUUUUUUUUUCAAAAAGAAAGUGUGUGACACGUGGCCCCUAUUGAUUGGGGGACAUUUUUUAGAUUUAAAAAUAGUAUAGCCGCACGGCUAUACUCAGUUUUGAAUUUUUUUUCAAGAAAGCUAUGUGUUGACACGUGGUGCGUAAUGGUUGGGGUCCUUUUUUAUAUUAAAAAUUAGUAUAGCCGAACGGCUAUACUCAGUUUUGAAUUUUUUUUAAAAAGAAUGUGUUGACACAUGGUCCCUAUUGAUUGGGGGACAUUUUUUAGAUUUAAAAUAGUAUCGCCGCACGGCUAUACUCAGUUUUGAAUUUUUUUUCAAGGAAGCUAUGUGUUGACACGUGGUGCGUAAUGGUUGGGGUCCUUUUUUAUAUUAAAAAUUAGUAUAGCCGACCGGCUAUACUCAGUUUUGAAUUAUUUCUUUAAAAAGAAUGUGUUGACACGUGGUCCCUAUGAUUGGGGGACAUUUUUUAGAUUUAAAAUAGUAUAGCCGCACGGCUAUCCUCAGUUUUGAAUUUUUUUUCAAGGAAGCUAUGUGUUGACACGUGGUGCGUAAUGGUUGGGGUCCUUUUUUAUAUUAAAAAUUAGUAUGGCCGAGCGGCUAUACUCAGUUUUGAAUUAUUUUUUUAAAAGAAUGUGUUGACACGUGGCCCCUAUUGAUUGGGGGACAUUUUUUAGAUUGAAAAAUAGUAUAGCCGCCCGGCUAUACUCAGUUUUGAAUUUUUUUUCAAAAAAGCUAUGUGUUGACACGUGGUGCGUAAUGGUUGGGGUCCUUUUUUAUAUUAAAAAUUAGUAUAGCCGAGCGGCUAGACUUGACACGUGGUCCCUAUUGAUUGGGGGACAUUUUUUAGAUUUAAAAUAGUAUAGCCGCACGGCGAUACUCAGUUUUGAAUUUUUUUUCAAGGAAGCUAUGUGUUGACACGUGGUGCGUAAUGGUUGGGGUCCUUUUUUAUAUUAAAAAUUAGUAUAGCCGACCGGCUAUACUCAGUUUUGAAUUAUUUUUAAAAAUAAUGUGUUGACACGUGGCUCCUAUUGAUUGGGGGACAUUUUUUAGAUUUAAAAAUAGUAUAGCCGCACGGCUAUACUCAGUUUUGAAUUUUGUUUCAAGAAAGCUAUGUGUUGGCACGUGGUGCGUA